GAUUGAACGCUGGCGGCAUGCCUUACACAUGCAAGUCGGACGGCAGCGCGGGCUUCGGCCUGGCGGCGAGUGGCGAACGGGUGAGUAAUACAUCGGAACGUAUCCUGGAGUGGGGGAUAGCCCGGCGAAAGCCGGAUUAAUACCGCAUACGCUCUGAGGAGGAAAGCGGGGGACCUUCGGGCCUCGCGCUCAAGGGGCGGCCGAUGGCGGAUUAGGUAGUUGGUGGGGUAAAGGCCUACCAAGCCGACGAUCCGUAGCUGGUCUGAGAGGACGACCAGCCACACUGGGACUGAGACACGGCCCAGACUCCUACGGGAGGCAGCAGUGGGGAAUUUUGGACAAUGGGGGCAACCCUGAUCCAGCAAUGCCGCGUGUGUGAAGAAGGCCUUCGGGUUGUAAAGCACUUUUGUCCGGAAAGAAAUCAUCCUGGCUAAUAUCCGGGGUGGAUGACGGUACCGGAAGAAUAAGCACCGGCUAACUACGU
rnacentral:rRNA from 1 species